UAUGAUUCGAUGAUGGGAAAGUAAUUACGUUUAGCUCUAGCAGAGAGGAGUUGCCUUGGCUGAAAGCAGCUCUUUGAACUGACGUAAGGAAAGACACCCGGAGAUUUUCUUGCUGAACAUGUAAUCUUACAUCAGUAGGCUAGAACGUAGACUGGCGUUAACAGGCUUGAGUGGAAGACUGUAUGUAGUUUUCAAUCAGGGUGGAACCACGGGAAUUCAACUCUCGUCCCUUUG
rnacentral:ncRNA from 1 species